rnacentral:rRNA from 1 species
CAAAAUGACUCUCGGCAAUGGAUAUCUCGGCUCUCGCAUCGAUGAAGAACGUAGCGAAAUGCGAUACUUGGUGUGAAUUGCAGAAUCCCGUGAACCAUCGAGUCUUUGAACGCAAGUUGCGCCCGAAGCCGUCAGGCCGAGGGCACGUCUGCCUGGGCGUCACGCA